CGUAUAUUAAAGUUGUUGCAGUUAAAAAGCUCGUAGUCGGAUUUUGGCAUCACGCCGAACUGUCAGCCGAUUGGUUUGUACGGUUUGGCGGGUGCUCUCCUUCCGGAAGCUCGUUCCCUUCUUAGUUGACGGGUUCGAUGGUUCCGGGUCUUUUACUUUGAAAAAAUUAGAGUGUUCAAAGCAGGCCUAUGCUCUGAAUAGGUUAGCAUGGAAUAAUAGAAUAGGACUUUGGUUCUAUUUUGUUGGUUUCUAGGACCGAAGUAAUGAUUAAUAGGGACAGUUGGGGGCAUUCAUAUUCCAAUGUCAGAGGUGAAAUUCUUGGAUUAUCGGAAGAUGAACUUCUGCGAAAGCAUCUGCCAAGGAUGUUUUUAUUGAUCAAGAACGAAAGUUAGGGGAUCGAAGACG
rnacentral:rRNA from 1 species